GAACUCAAAGGAGACUGCCAGUGAUAAACUGGAGGAAGGUGGGGAUGACGUCAAGUCAUCAUGGCCCUUACGACCAGGGCUACACACGUGCUACAAUGGCAUAUACAAAGAGAAGCGACCUCGCGAGAGCAAGCGGACCUCAUAAAGUAUGUCGUAGUCCGGAUUGGAGUCUGCAACUCGACUCCAUGAAGUCGGAAUCGCUAGUAAUCGUAGAUCAGAAUGCUACGGUGAAUACGUUCCCGGGCCUUGUACACACCGCCCGUCACACCAUGGGAGUGGGUUGCAAAAGAAGUAGGUAGCUUAACCUUCGGGAGGGCGCUUACCACUUUGUGAUUCAUGACUGGGGUGAAGUCGUAACAAGGUAACCGUAGGGGAACCUGCGGUUGGAUCACCUCCUUA
rnacentral:rRNA from 1 species